rnacentral:rRNA from 1 species
CCUAAAUAAAGCAUUUACUAGUCCCAGUAUAGGCGAUAGAAAAGACACCAUUGGAGCGAUAGAGACUACGUACCGUAAGGGAAAGAUGAAAUAGCAGUGAAAAAAUAAGCUAAAAACAGCAAAGAUCAGCCCUUGUACCUUUUGCAUCAUGGUCUAGCAAGAAAAACCAAGCAAAAUGAAUUUAAGUUUGCCACCCCGAAACCCAAGCGAGCUACUCACGAGCAGCUAUUAUUGAGCGAACCCGUCUCUGUUGCAAAAGAGUGGGAUGACUUGUUAGUAGAGGUGAAAAGCCAACCGAGCUGGGUGAUAGCUGGUUGCCUGUGAAAUGAAUCUAAGUUCACUCUUAAUUCUUCUCCAAGGAACACCAAAACCCUAAUGAAGCGAAUUAAGGGCUACUUAAAGGAGGUACAGCUCCUUUAAAAAAGAAUACAAUCUCUACGAGCGGAUAAAUAAUCAGAAUACAAAAUUACUGUGGGCCCUCAAGCAGCCAUCAACAAAGAGUGCGUUAAAGCUCUGUGCUCUAAAAAUAUAAGAACUAUAUGAAUCCCUCCCCACUAACAGGCUAACCUAUAACAAUAGGAGAAUUAAUGCUAGAAUGAGUAACCAGGGUUCUCCCUCUUCGACGCAAGCUUACAUCCGUACAUUAUUAACAAGCCACCAUAUACGA